rnacentral:rRNA from 1 species
AUUGAACGCUGGCGGCAUGCCUUACACAUGCAAGUCGAACGGCAGCACGGGUGCUUGCUCCUGGUGGCGAGUGGCGAACGGGUGAGUAAUACAUCGGAACAUGUCCUGUAGUGGGGGAUAGCCCGGCGAAAGCCGGAUUAAUACCGCAUACGAACCACGGAUGAAAGCGGGGGGCCUGCGGGCCUCGCGCUAUAGGGUUGGCCGAUGGCUGAUUAGCUAGUUGGUGGGGUAAAGGCCUACCAAGGCGACGAUCAGUAGCUGGUCUGAGAGGACGACCAGCCACACUGGGACUGAGACACGGCCCAGACUCCUACGGGAGGCAGCAGUGGGGAAUUUUGGACAAUGGGCGAAAGCCUGAUCCAGCAAUGCCGCGUGUGUGAAGAAGGCCUUCGGGUUGUAAAGCACUUUUGUCCGGAAAGAAAUCCUUGGCCCUAAUACGGUCGGGGGAUGACGGUACCGGAAGAAUAAGCACCGGCUAACUACGUG